UACGAAGGGGGCUAGCGUUGCUCGGAAUCACUGGGCGUAAAGCGCACGUAGGCGGCUUUUUAAGUCAGGGGUGAAAUCCCGGGGCUCAACCCCGGAACUGCCCUUGAAACUGGAGAGCUAGAAUCUUGGAGAGGCGAGUGGAAUUCCGAGUGUAGAGGUGAAAUUCGUAGAUAUUCGGAAGAACACCAGUGGCGAAGGCGACUCGCUGGACAAGUAUUGACGCUGAGGUGCGAAAGCGUGGGGAGCAAACAGG
rnacentral:rRNA from 1 species